ACCGGUAGACGCGACUGGCGGCACUGGGAUGGUCCGAACCAUCGGGGAGCCUCUCCGCGGGAGUCGACCGCCUGGGCUUCCGCA
rnacentral:ncRNA from 2 species